rnacentral:rRNA from 1 species
UACGGGGGGGGCAAGCGUUGUUCGGAAUUACUGGGCGUAAAGGGCUCGUAGGCGGCCAACUAAGUCAGACGUGAAAUCCCUCGGCUUAACCGGGGAACUGCAUCUGAUACUGGAUGGCUUGAGUUCGGAAGAGGGAUGCGGAAUUCCAGGUGUAGCGGUGAAAUGCGUAGAUAUCGGGAGGAACACCUGUGGCGAAGGCGGCCCCCUGGUUGGAUACUGACGCUGAGACGCGAAAGCGUGGGGAGCAAACAGG